rnacentral:snoRNA from 1 species
UCUACCUAAAGAAGAUCCUUGAGUUCUAAGGAGACAGGAACUAAAGUCUGGUGGAUGAACUAUGGCCCUGUGAUCAGAGCGUGAUUAACGGUCAGGUGUGUCUUCUCUCAUGAUUUAGAUACAUCUUAGUUGUAGAGGAUCGUUCCUAGUUGUCACCAUCUCGGAUGGUCACAGGGUUGUCUGACAGACU